rnacentral:rRNA from 1 species
AUGAGCAAGAGUCUGAGCCCGCGAUACCAAGGCCUGUCCACUUAUGAGAAGGAGUAUCUCGCCAUUGUCGUAGCCGUGGACCAGUGGUGACCCUACCUCGAGCACAGGGAGUUUAUCAUCCACACCGAUCAGAAGAGCCUAAUACACUUGGAGGAACAACGCCUGUCCACCCCCUGGCAACAACGUGCUUUCACUAACCUGUUGGGGCUGCGCUAUACCAUACGGUACAAAAAAGGGACAAAAAAGGCCUGCACUCUUGGCUGGACGAGCGCGCCGUCAUUCAGGACUUGCUACAGCAGCACUUGA